rnacentral:rRNA from 1 species
CUACCCUACGGGGCGCAGCAGUGAGGAAUAUUGGUCAAUGGGCGAGAGCCUGAACCAGCCAAGUCGCGUGAGGGAAGACGGUCCUAUGGAUUGUAAACCUCUUUUGUCGGGGAGCAAAAAGACUACGUGUAGUCCCAAGCGAGAGUACCCGAAGAAAAAGCAUCGGCUAACUCCGUGCCAGCAGCCGCGGUAAUACGGAGGAUGCGAGCGUUAUCCGGAUUUAUUGGGUUUAAAGGGUGCGUAGGCGGAAUGCCAAGUCAGCGGUAACAUCGCGGGGCUCAACCUCGCUCCUCCGUUGAAACUGG